rnacentral:lncRNA from 1 species
GUGAUUCGAAUUUUGGAGGCUAGGAUCAGCAAGUUUAGGUUUUUGGAUAUGGAUUGGAUACAAAAUUUAUGUGAUUUGGAGUUUUUAUGAAGGAGUAAUUGGUGCUCAAAGUUAAGAUGUUAAUUUCAUACCUACUAUCACUCUUUGGGGCAUAACAUAUGUUACAAAGAACAACAAAGGAUUGGCAAUAAGGAUUGGAGAGAAAAUAUUUUUGGCUAUUCUUUUCAUAUACAAUUUGAUGAAUUUAGAGUUUGGAUGGAGAAGUUAUAAAGGGUUGAAGUCAUCACAUUCAAAUCAAAGGCAAUAAGUAAGUGAUUUUGUUCAUAGUAAUGGUUAGAGCCAUAUCUUGAGUUUUUAGACAAAUUUUUGGCUCAAACCUUAUAAAGAAGAUAGAUUAUUGUGUUAAAAAACUAUAAAUAUAAAUUUUAUGGCAUUUAAAUGCUUAAUUUGUGAGAUA